rnacentral:rRNA from 1 species
AGUGAACGCUGGCGGUAGGCCUAACACAUGCAAGUCGAACGGCAGCACAGUAAGAGCUUGCUCUUACGGGUGGCGAGUGGCGGACGGGUGAGGAAUACAUCGGAAUCUACUUUUUCGUGGGGGAUAACGUAGGGAAACUUACGCUAAUACCGCAUACGACCUACGGGUGAAAGCAGGGGAUCUUCGGACCUUGCGCGAUUGAAUGAGCCGAUGUCGGAUUAGCUAGUUGGCGGGGUAAAGGCCCACCAAGGCGACGAUCCGUAGCUGGUCUGAGAGGAUGAACAGCCACACUGGAACUGAGGCACGGUCCAGACUCCUACGGGAGGCAGCAGUGGGGAAUAUUGGACAAUGGGCGAAAGCCUGAUCCAGCCAUACCGCGUGGGUGAAGAAGGCCUUCGGGUUGUAAAGCCCUUUUGUUGGGAAAGAAAAGCAGCAGGUUAAUACCCCGCUGUUCUGACGGUACCCAAAGAAUAAGCACCGGCUAACUUCGUG